AGAAAGGAAUUGACGGUAACGAAAUCGGUACAAAUAAUUCGAAUUUAGACUAAUUAGUAUUGGUUUUACAUGCGAUGCGUCUGCUAUCAAUGGGAAUCAGCGGAAAACAAACGCAUUCAACUCCAGUAAGUAGGCUAGCGUUGCGCAACACAGAAACAACAGUAACGAGAACAUGUUCGUGUAUUAUGCUGGAUGGCUGAACGCAAAAACGGGACAUUUGGCUGACUUGUCGGGACGGCGGGACAAGACGCCAAAAAGCGGGACUGUCCCGCCUAAAGCGGGACGUAUGGAGAUAGCCCUGAAAAGCAUUGUUUACAUCGGUGACUGUCGUACACUGCUGCGCUACGGACUAGGCAGAUUAAAAAGCAAGAUAUGGCUCAAACGCCCUCAUCAUAAACCAAUGGUAACAGGUUUCCGUAUAAAAGAAUCACCACAUGAGAAUCACAGAAAACAAGAAUUCGUUUUGAUGUCAAUAGAUGCUUUACCUACCUUUGACCCUAGACCAGGGGUUCGCGAGAAGAUUUCAGGGGAUACUUGGAUGGCGGUCGAGUUUUUGUGUGUUGCUGUUUUUUAUUAUCUUUUAUUACUACCAGAGAAAAUUGGGACCUCCAGAAGUAUGCGCAUCAAGAUGGCGCACAACCUGAACAUAGUAUGUGUGUACCGGUUAGGAUUCAGGUUGUGAGACAUCUUGGUGCGCAUACUUCUGGAGUACCGAAAAUUGGGUGCCGAUUGAAACUGGAUGCCAAUUGAAACAUAGAUUUUCCCUGAUUUUGCGUUGUUGUGAUUGUGACGUAAACAAUGUGAAAUUCACGGCUUUGCAGGAAAAUGAAAUUUCCAAAUACAGUGUGCUGCAAGCCUGCAAGCAUUGGAGAAAGUGAUAUCCUUAUUGAAAUUUGAGAGGGAUUUCAAGAAUUUAUUAGUUAGACGAAGGACUGGGGGAAUAUCAGUAACAGGGAAAUUAAAUUUAGUUUUAUCUGGUCAAUAAAUUGUUGUUUCAACAAAUUGUUAGUCGAUAUAUCACAACUUUGUUCG